rnacentral:sRNA from 1 species
CACCGCCUGGGGAGUACGACCGCAAGGUUAAAACUCAAAUGAAUUGACGGGGACCCGCACAAGCAGUGGAGCAUGUGGUUUAAUUCGAAGAUACGCGCAGAACCUUACCAACUCUUGACAUGUUCGUCGCGAGCCUAAGAGAUUAGGCUCUUCAGUUUGGCUGGACGAAACACAGGUGCUGCAUGGCUGUCGUCAGCUCGUGUCGUGAGAUGUUGGGUUAAGUCCCGCAACGAGCGCAACCCUUACUUUUAGUUGCCAUCAUUUAGUUGGGCACUUUAAAAGAACUGCCAGUGAUAAGCUGGAGGAAGGUGGGGAUGACGUCAAGUCCUCAUGGCCCUUACGAGUUGGGCUACACACGUGCUACAAUGGCACUUACAAUGAGAAGCGAAGAGGCAACUCCUAGCAAAUCUCAAAAAUGUGCCUCAGUUCGGAUUGUACUCUGCAACUCGAGUACAUGAAGCUGGAAUUGCUAGUAAUCGCGGAUCAGCGCGCCGCGGUGAAUACGUUCCCGGGUCUCGUACACACCGCCCGUCACACCAUGGAAGUUGGUUACACCUUAAGGCAAAUUGUUAACCUUCGGGAAACAUUUGACUACGGUACGAUCAGCGACUGGGGUGAAGUCGUAACAAGGUAGCCGUAGGGGAACCUGCGGCUGGAUCACCUCCUUUCUAAAGGAAAUCGUAAAUAUUAUUUACGAUUUAAAAAAAAUCGGUAAUGUAUCCGUCCUCAUUUCUCUUCUUUAAUGUCUCUGUAAGAUGCAUAGGGGCCGGUAGCUCAGGUGGUUAGAGCGCACCCCUGAUAAGGGUGAGGUCGGACGUUCGAGUCGUCCUCGGCCCACCAUUUAUAAAAGGGGGAUUAGCUCAGCUGGGAGAGCGCCUGAUUUGCAUUCAGGAGGUCAGCGGUUCGAUCCCGCUAUCCUCCACCAAAACUUUGACAUUUAGCUUUUUUAAAUUGUGAAUAUUAUUAUCAAUAUCUAUAUCCGAUUGUUUUCAAAUAUUUUUAUGAAAACAAUCAAAACAAAAAUUUGAAUUUUACACAGAAUUUUUUUCUG